ACCUUCGCGGUUAUUAGUGGCGAACGGGUGAGUAACACGUAAGCAACCUACCCUAAAGACGAGGAUAACCAUUGGAAACAGUGGCUAAGACUGGAUAGGAAGAUAAAAGGCAUCUUGUAUCUUUUAAAAGACCUAGUUAAUAGGUAUGCUUUAGGAGGGGCUUGCGCCAUAUUAGUUAGUUGGUAGGGUAAUGGCCUACCAAGACGAUGAUGUGUAGCUGGACUGAGAGGUUGAACAGCCACAUUGGGACUGAGACACGGCCCAAACUCCUACGGGAGGCAGCAGUAGGGAAUUUUCGGCAAUGGAGGAAACUCUGACCGAGCAACGCCGCGUGAAUGACGAAGUACUUCGGUAUGUAAAGUUCUUUUAUCGAGGAAGAAAAGCAAAUGGCGAACCAUUUGUUUGCCGGUACUUGAUGAAUAAGCCCCGGCUAAUUAUGUGCCAGCAGCCGCGGUAAGACAUAAGGGGCAAGUGUUAUCCGGAAUUAUUGGGCGUAAAGGGUGCGUAGGCGGUCUAGUAAGUCAGUGGUGUAAUGGCAACGCUUAACGUUGUCCGGCUAUUGAAACUGCUAAACUUGAGUUAGAUAGAGGCGAGUGGAAUUCCAUGUGUAGCGGUAAAAUGCGUAAAUAUAUGGAGGAACACCAGAGGCGUAGGCGGCUCGCUGGGUCUUAACUGACGCUGAGGCACGAAAGCGUGGGGAGCAAACAGGAUUAGAUACCCUGGUAGUCCACGCCGUAAACGAUGAGUACUAAGUGUCGGGUUAAACCGGUACUGAAGUUAACACAUUAAGUACUCCGCCUGAGUAGUACGUACGCAAGUAUGAAACUUAAAGGAAUUGACGGGACUCCGCACAAGCGGUGGAUCAUGUUGUUUAAUUCGAAGAUACCCGAAAAACCUUACCAGGUCUUGACAUGUUUUUGCAAAAUGAUAGUAAUAUCGUGGAGGUUACCAGAAACACAGGUGGUGCAUGGUUGUCGUCAGCUCGUGUCGUGAGAUGUUAGGUUAAGUCCUAAAACGAGCGAAACCCUUAUCGUUAGUUGCCAGCACGUUAUGGUGGGGACUUUAACGAGACUGCCAAUGAUAAAUUGGAGGAAGGUGAGGAUCACGUCAAAUCAGCAUGCCCCUUAUGACCUGGGCUACAAACGUGAUACAAUGGCUGUUACAAAGGGUAGCUGAAACGCAAGUUCUUGGCCAAUCCCCAAAAACAGUCCCAGUCCGGAUUGAAGUCUGCAACUCGACUUCAUGAAGUUGGAAUCGCUAGUAAUCGCGAAUCAGCAUGUCGCGGUGAAUACGUUCUCGGGGUUUGUACACACCGCCCGUCAAACCACGAAAGUUGGCAAUACCCCAAAACGGUAGCCUAACUCGUUUAUUCGAGAGGGCGCCGUCUAAGGUAGGGUCGAUGAUUGGGGUUAAGUCGUAACAAGGUAUCCCUACCGGAAGGUGGGGAUGGAUCACCUCCUU
rnacentral:rRNA from 1 species